GUCCUCGUAGCCCAACGGCAGAGGCACCAGUCUGAGUUGCUGGCCAGUGUGCGUUCGAGUCGCACCGAGGACA
rnacentral:tRNA from 1 species